GAUGUUUAGUUUCUAUUUACCUGGAAAGCAUGAAAUGAUACCACCUGUAAUUGUAUGGUUAGCUUUUAGAUUAAGGCAUCUUAUGAUGCUGUGUUAAGGUAUUAAGGAGCUGUAAUUAGGUGCCAAAACAAAUACGUGAAAAAAAUUAGAAUGACUAAUGUAUUCCAAGCUCCUGUAUUCCAGAUGGCCAUAAAAUUAAGAUAAAAGGAAAAAAGAAUCUACCUAUGUUUUCUAAUGACCCCGACAAAGAGUAUGAUAUAGUACCUCAUGGGCUUUCAAGAUGAAGAGUAUCUUGGUGCUGCAAUAAUAUUACUCAGAAGAUAUAAUAAGGUGACAAAAUUAGUGAGUGAAAGACUAGUGGAGCAAGGAGUAGAUUCAAGUAUAAAUCAGUCGGGAAAGUAGUAUUGUCCCGAACUACCCGUUCGGGUUGCACCAAACUAUACCGGGGGCAGAUUGGCACGAUUCUACCCUUCGGUUCGAGAAAUCCGAUGAGGGGGAGAGGAAGAAGGAGAGAUAGGAAGAGAGAGA
rnacentral:lncRNA from 1 species